GGUCAAGAGAGCCUCCCCUCCCCACCAUUCCCAGAAAAGGAGGAAGGGGCUGAUGGACUCUCUGGGAACCCCCUCCCCUCCCUGCGCCCCGUCAUCAAGAAGAAAAUUCGAAGAAAAGGUUUAGCAGGGACAGAGAAGCGACCUGUCCCGGAAACCCCUUAAAGCCUGCGAGUCAGUUCAAACUGGAAUCUGUCAGGCCCGUCCCGCUCGGGGUUGGUGAGGUCUGAGGGACUUCGGGGGAUCUUGCUCUGGUACCACUCUCGAUUGUCCUCCAGCGUGUCCAGCAGGUCCUGUGCAUCUGGGUGGACCAGUGUCUACCGGUUCAGCCCAGUCCCCUGCCAACCUGGGACUUCUCCACUGAGGCCGUAUGCUUGUCACACAUGGGACUGAUGUCCAGGCCCGACUCACGCUCGCGGUCUCCCUGCUGGAAGAACUCGGCCAUGAUGCGAGACAGGGUCUUGCUGUCACCCAGGCUGGAGUGCAGUGGUGCAAUCACGGUUCCCUGCAGCCUCAACCUCCUGGCCUCAAGUGAUCCUCCCAUCUCAGCCUCCUGAGUAGUUGGGAUUACAGGAACCAAAGCAGUGACUCAACAAAGCUCACCCAGGAAGGUCCGGGAGAUGUACUCGGACACCUGGUUCCCGGAGCGGCUGGUUUCGGACAGGUGGGUCAACUCCCGGUUCAGGAUCCGCUUGAACUGGGGCGGAGAGAAGGUGAAGACCGUGAUGAUGGGGCACCGUGGGCCGAGGCAGGUGAGCUCAGCGAUCUGCCCCACCUCACCUUGUUGGAGGCCAUCUCCCCCACCGAGUGCCGGGUCUGCAGCGUCUCCAACUGAUCCAGGCACCAGUCCAGCUCGUC
rnacentral:lncRNA from 1 species